UGGGGAAUAUUGCGCAAUGGGCGAAAGCCUGACGCAGCGACGCCUCGUGAGGGAUGAAGGUCUUCGGAUCGUAAACCUCUGUCAAGAGGGAAGAAACCCUUGGGUUCAAAUAGGGCCCUUGGCUGACGGUACCUCAAAAGGAAGCACCGGCUAACUCCGUGCCAGCAGCCGCGGUAAUACGGAGGGUGCAAGCGUUAAUCGGAAUCACUGGGCGUAAAGCGCUCGUAGGCGGUUUGGUCAGUCAGAUGUGAAUGCCCACGGCUUAACCGUGGAACUGCAUUUGAUACUGCCAGACUUGAGUGUCGGAGAGGGUGGCGGAAUUCCGGGUGUAGGAGUGAAAUCCGUAGAUAUCCGGAGGAACACCAGUGGCGAAGGCGGCCACCUUGACGACAACUGACGCUGAGGAGCGAAAGCGUGGGGAGCAAACA
rnacentral:rRNA from 1 species